UACGGAGGGGGCUAGCGUUGUUCGGAAUUACUGGGCGUAAAGGGCGCGUAGGCGGUGCGAUCAGUCAGGCGUGAAAGGCCCGGGCUCAACCCGGGGACUGCGCUUGAUACUGUUGCGCUGUGAGUCCGGGAGAGGAUGGCGGAAUUCCCAGUGUAGAGGUGAAAUUCGUAGAUAUUCGCAAGAACACCAGUGGCGAAGGCGGCUGACUGGUCCG
rnacentral:rRNA from 1 species